GGGGAAAGGGCUUUCCUUUGUUGUGUCACAGAAGAGCUCCCAGCAGAGCGCAGCUUUCGCGUCUCUCCUGCAUAUCUCGGCCCUCUGCUUCCAGCAGGCAGGCUCUCCCGGACUCAGGGACUCCAUGGUCCUCCACAGCCUGGCUGUCGUCAGGGUCUCCGCUCUUUAGAGUCAAGAGCAUUGCUGGCUGGAGACAAGAGAUGGCGCUGUGAGCCCAACGGAAAGAGAAGGCGGUGAGAGACCGUGCGCCACCUCCCAGCUGAUUAAAGGCCACCAAAAUGCACUUCCUGGGAUUUUUCUGAUUUGUUUUCUCAUGGCCUUUGGGGCUUCCUCAAACUCAAAAUAAUUGCCCACGCCAGAGUAUCUAGGAAUCUUUUUCUCCUCAUCCUUGGGAAGGGCUCGGCUCCCAGAUGUACACAGUAUAAACCCGCAAGGGAAGGUUGAGGCAGCCCUGGAAGUUCCUUGUUAUGCUGAGAGGGAAUCUUUCGAGGGUGGGGAGGUAACUUAUAGGUGGUCUUUGGAAAGCUGUGACUGUCAUGAGAGAUAGCCUGGCAUAAAUGACAAAGUUGGCUGUGGGUGAAUGAGAGAAAAACAGAAGAACCAAAGCAAAAAGCAAACAAAAAUAAUUGGCAUCAUAAAUCAUGGCUGAGCUCUCGGGAUGAAAUUCAUCUUCUGCUUUCGUGCGACGAACACAUUUUUGUCUCACUUUGUCCAGCUGUUCGUAGAAAGUCAAAUCACUUGGAUCAUGGGCUCAUUCCGUGUAAAAUUCUUCUCCUGACAAAAUCAGCCUUGAUCUUUUCAUUGGUUUCUCUUUGUCACAUUCUCUUUCUUACAUGCAACAUCCUGUGUUAGGACCAGGUACAUUCCCUUGCAAAAGAGACAGAGAGAAUUUUUUUGAGGUAGGUUACAGAAAACACAAUAAUUAACGAGGAACAGAGCUAACUUCAUACCUGACAUGAAGCCAACUCUUAAUUAGCUACAUGUGUAUCUCAUACUUGGUGAAUUAUGCGUGGAAAGUGUUUACUCACAAGAGACUUUCCCUCAAGCGUAUUUUAACUAUCAUCCUCAUUCCCACCUUCAUCUUCUUACCAGACCAAUUAGUGUGCUUAUCAAAAUAAACACAAUUAGAAAGAUGACAUAGAGAAAAACACAUUCUUCUAAUGCGCUGAUAUAACUUAGAGCUUGAAGGCUUAGCAUGCCCUUGCCUGAAGAUGACAGAAUGCUAGUUAAAAAUAGAGAUGGCCGGACUCAGCGUCAGAUCUACUGAAUCCAAAUUUCCAGGGGCAGGGCUUGGUAAUCCAUAUUUUUAUUAGGUCCCCCCCCCUCAGGUGAUUCUUAUCAUGAAGAAGCUUAGGAAACAGUAUCCAAGAAAUUCUCUAGUCCAAGAGUCAGUAAACUACCAGUAAAGGGUCAGACAGCAAAUAUUUGAGGCUCUG